rnacentral:rRNA from 1 species
AAGUCGAGCGGACAGAUGGGAGCUUGCUCCCUGAUGUUAGCGGCGGACGGGUGAGUAACACGUGGGUAACCUGCCUGUAAGACUGGGAUAACUCCGGGAAACCGGGGCUAAUACCGGAUGGUUGUUUGAACCGCAUGGUUCAGACAUAAAAGGUGGCUUCGGCUACCACUUACAGAUGGACCCGCGGCGCAUUAGCUAGUUGGUGAGGUAACGGCUCACCAAGGCAACGAUGCGUAGCCGACCUGAGAGGGUGAUCGGCCACACUGGGACUGAGACACGGCCCAGACUCCUACGGGAGGCAGCAGUAGGGAAUCUUCCGCAAUGGACGAAAGUCUGACGGAGCAACGCCGCGUGAGUGAUGAAGGUUUUCGGAUCGUAAAGCUCUGUUGUUAGGGAAGAACAAGUGCCGUUCAAAUAGGGCGGCACCUUGACGGUACCUAACCAGAAAGCCACGGCUAACUACGUGCCAGCAGCCGCGGUAAUACGUAGGUGGCAAGCGUUGUCCGGAAUUAUUGGGCGUAAAGGGCUCGCAGGCGGUUUCUUAAGUCUGAUGUGAAAGCCCCCGGCUCAACCGGGGAGGGUCAUUGGAAACUGGGGAACUUGAGUGCAGAAGAGGAGAGUGGAAUUCCACGUGUAGCGGUGAAAUGCGUAGAGAUGUGGAGGAACACCAGUGGCGAAGGCGACUCUCUGGUCUGUAACUGACGCUGAGGAGCGAAAGCGUGGGGAGCGAACAGGAUUAGAUACCCUGGUAGU